UUAUGGUGGAAGAACAAUACAGCACAUUGGAAAAAAGAAAAGGUUUUUUAAACCUGAAGCAAGAGACAGAAGGGGAUUCGUAAAAGAUAAGGUUCCUCCAGUUCUUGUCAUCUCACUUAAUUCUCAUGGAAAUUCUCUGAGGUCUUGGACUCCACCGAAUUACAUUCCAGCUUGCUUGCAAAUGGCAGAUCAUGGGACUUCUCGACCUCCAUCAUUGUAUGACCCAAUUCCUAUGAUAAAGCUUCUCUCAUAAAUAUCUAUAGAUACCCUCCUGGUUCUGUUUCUCUGGAGAAACCUGACUAAUACAGGAAAAGCAUAUAAAUGAAAUCUUCUUAAAAAGGAACUUGGAAGGAAGACGUAAGCUUCCUAAGUAUCACCGAGAGCUUCCAGCUAGCGUCUUCCGAAUUGCCCUACCACACACAGUUCUUUCUCCAGCUCAGGAGCUCUCCUCCCUUACACACUCUGGCAGCCCUCCUCCCCGUGAGAUAUCUUGUUCCAGAACAAGAGACACCUAAGAAAAAUAAAUUUACGUGUUGUGAAAACGGACAUACAUCCUUCAGGACUCACGAAAGCUGCCUCCCAGCCUUCCACGCCAUCACGUUGCCUGUGUGCUCUCCGGUGUGUUGAUCACGGUGUCCACAGGAAGAUGAUUCUCUUCAGCCUGAAGCUCGUUUGCCCGUGUGUAGGGCAUUGAAUGUUGGUUUCUCUGGGUUAAAUCACGGAGAGGAAGGCCUGCGGGGAGGACGCCGUGCAGAGCUGCAGUGACGUCCUCCACCACCCUGCGUGACUCCACCUGUGACACGGCGCCAGCCUAGGGAGUCUCCCCGGAAUUACCUUCAAGAAAAUGCUGGGUUCAGGCCUCCUCUCCCUUCCCGUACUCUCAAAACCUGAGCCCUAAUUUUAAUUUUCUCUGAUGAACCUGAAAAGAUGCCCACUUUUGAUUCCUGAAAGGUUGUCCACAAGGAGUAAAAUAAUUCGAUUUAACGGAUGAAGAAGGACUUCUGGAAUCCACUUGCCCGCAUUUAGAAUGUUCCGUACCAGGGAAUAUCAAGGUACUCCCGUUUGGUUACAUAUGUGCCGACGAGGUAAUCGUGGUUUAAGGCAAACCUUCGGUUAUGAGCUAAUCAGUUCAGCUCGCUGACUAUUGGCCUGCUAUGGCAGGACAAGAAUAAUUAAGUGCCACUUAAAGGUAUGGGAAGAACGUUAGUCAGAAAUUGAUGUGCCUCCAGAAGGCUCCAAAUGGCCGACGUUUAAUGGUCCUCUGUACGUUGCCAUGGCAACUCACUUUGGUACCUCACAUAUCCUCAGUGUAAGAAAACAAGGGGCAGAGUGUUCUUAGGAAGGUGCAACCCCCUUUAAGCAGAUCUAGAAGCAUCGCAGAUGAACAGAACUUGAAACAUUCCGCCAUGAAUAUUCAUGAAGUAAGUUGUUUUUUGUUGCCUGCCUAGUCAGCAGUCACAAAACACAUGGUGUGUGUUGGCAGCAUCUUGCCUAGGUAGAGGGCUAUGGACUGAGGCAAUGGCAGCAACCAGGACCUGUGAGGCUGACUGACAUUUCCAUCUGUAGCGAAGGCUGGUAAUUAACAGGAAGGAGUAUGCCUGCAGCAUUGCACCAUCUGCUAGGGAAACGGCUCAAUAAGAAAGGAGCUGGAUAGCAUCUCAGCGGUGGCGCGAUCUGGUUCCGACAUGAGGCCGGGCAUCUGUUAGCUGAGGAGACGGACUAUUAGGGAAUUCGACUGGGAAUGAACAACAUGGAAAGAGCACUCUGACCUAGCCCAUAAAAGCAACUCUUUAGAAAUGGUGUCUUUUUUUCUUACUUACCCAAGCCUUCUGAAAAUGGUUUGCCGAGGGACCAUUACAGAUCUGUUUGAAGGAACACAAUGGCUUCAAAAAAUGCUGUUUUAUUCCGACAUGAAAUUCUUGAAAUCAGGAUACAGCUGUCAUCUUUUGACAAUAGAGCUAAUUUCAGAGCGAGGAUAUGAGGUUAAAUUCCUCCUUUUGUCGUUUAGAUUGGGGAGCAGUGGGGGUGGGGAAACAAAAUGAUCAUUUCAAUGCUAUGCUAUUCAAAAUCAAGGAGACCAAAAAAAAAAGCAAAAAAAAAAAAAAAAACAAACCACAACCCUAGGAUGCCCUGGCAGAAAGUGAGCAGAUCAGAAAUCACCCCCAAGUUCUUGUAAUGUCUUCAUGUUCUGUUUUGUUUUAGUCGUACUGUUUUCUAAUGCAAAUCUUUCUUGUCAUGAAAAACCACACUUUGGGACUUGGGGCAUCAACCAUACUUUACUAGUCUCAGGACCUUCGUUGGAGAGAAUGUUGGUGGUUUAGGUACCAAAUCUAGAAAUGGGAGUCCAGUUCAUGAGAGGGUUAGUGUGUACUUGGGGCAAGACGAAUGGGCAGAACAUCGCUAUCAACCCCCCCCCCCACAUCACCCUCAUAUUCUUAGGAGAUAGAUAAACUUCUUCCACAGGGGAACCCAUCUUUGAGAGGAGUCAGCAGACAGAAACCUUGAUCUCCCCAUCAUUCUAUAGGUUAAUGCAACUUUUAAGAAUAUGUAUUAGUCUUUCAACCACUGGGGAAAAACUGUUGACCUAAACCAUCUCAGUGAGGUUGGAGCUUAGAAUCUAUUACCACCAUUCCCUUGACUGGGACUCCUGACUCAUGUACAGAGUCCCCCAGAUGGCAGAUGACUUUGUGUGUGUGUGUGUGUGUGUGUGUGUAUGUGUGUGUGUGUUAAAGUUACCAAAUCAGAGCCAUUGAAUGAUAUUUACUGAGACCUCAUGGUACCAUAUGGAAUCAAAAAAUAUAUAGACCUUGGAAUUUAAAUUCAUCUGAGAAAGGUGGACGCAGGAUUCAUGUUUAGAAUAUUUUGUUCUCUCUCCCUCUCCUGUGAAUGCUGAUUAUUUUGCUGAUCUACGGGAACGCUGAUGUCUGA